CAGUAGCCGCGGUAAUACGUAGGUGGCAAGCGUUAUCCGGAAUUAUUGGGCGUAAAGCGCGCGUAGGCGGUUUCUUAAGUCUGAUGUGAAAGCCCACGGCUCAACCGUGGAGGGUCAUUGGAAACUGGGAAACUUGAGUGCAGAAGAGGAAAGUGGAAUUCCAUGUGUAGCGGUGAAAUGCGCAGAGAUAUGGAGGAACACCAGUGGCGAAGGCGACUUUCUGGUCUGUAACUGACGCUGAUGUGCGAAAGCGUGGGGAUCAAACAGGAUUAGAGACCCCUGUAGUCCCUGUCUCUUAUAC
rnacentral:rRNA from 1 species